rnacentral:rRNA from 1 species
UACGUAGGGUGCGAGCGUUGCCCGGAUUUAUUGGGCGUAAAGGGCGCGCAGGCGGCUACGCACGUCCGUUGUGAAAUCGCUCGGCUCAACUGGGCGGGGUCGGCGGAUACGGCGUAGCUGGAGCAAGCUAGGGGGCAAUGGAAUUCCUGGUGUAGCGGUGGAAUGCGCAGAUAUCAGGAGGAACACCGGUGGCGAAGGCGGGUCUCUGGGCAGUAACUGACGCUGAGGAGCGAAAGCGUGGGGAGCGAACAGG